ACUCAAAUGAAUUGACGGGGGCCCGCACAAGCAGCGGAGCGUGUGGUUUAAUUCGAGGCUACACGAAGAACCUUACCUGGGCUUGACAUCACGGUGGUAGCGACCCGAGAGGGGAGCGACCUUCGGGAGCCGUGACAGGUGCUGCAUGGCUGUCGUCAGCUCGUGUCGUGAGAUGUCCGGUUAAGUCCGGUAACGAGCGCAACCCUCGCCGUCAGUUACAAGUUGUCUGGCGGGACUGCCCGUUGAACGCGGGAGGAAGGUGGGGAUGACGUCAAGUCAGCAUGGCCCGUAUGUCCAGGGCGACACACACGCUACAAUGGCCGGUACAAUGGGUCGCCAACCCGCGAGGGGGAGCCAAUCCACCAAAGCCGGUCUCAGUUCGGAUUGCAGGCUGCAACCCGCCUGCAUGAAGUCGGAGUUGCUAGUAACCGCCGGUCAGCCAUACGGCGGUGAAUACGUUCCCGGGCCUUGUACACACCGCCCGU
rnacentral:rRNA from 1 species